GAUGAAGAACGUAGCGAAAUGCGAUAAGUAAUGUGAAUUGCAGAAUUCAGUGAAUCAUCGAAUCUUUGAACGCACCUUGCACCCUUUGGCAUUCCGAAGGGUAUGCUCGUUUGAGUGUCAUUGUACUCUCACACUCCCACUCUUUUGGAUUGGGAGCGGUGGACUUGGGUGUUGCUGCUUCACUGUGGCUCGCCUCAAAUGGAGUAGUGCAACUCUCGGUUGGACAUAGUACGGCGUGAUAAGUGUCUUCGCCGGCGCCUCACUAGAGGGUGGUCGAUCGGGAGCUCUGUGCUUCAAACCGUCUUCGGACAAUCUCUGACAACUUGACCUCAAAUCGAGUAGGACUACCCGCUGAACUUAAGCAUAUCAAAAGCGGAGGA
rnacentral:misc_RNA from 1 species